GACGAACGCUGGCGGCGUGCUUAACACAUGCAAGUCGAUCGGUAACGCGGGGGCAACCCUGGCGACGAGAGGCGGACGGGUGAGGAACGCUUGGGAAUCUGCUCUUCAGCGGGGGACAACCCGGGGAAACCCGGGCUAAUACCGCAUACGCUCCACGGAGGAAAGCCGGGGACCGCAAGGCCUGGCACUGAAGGAUGAGCCCAAGUCGGAUUAGCUAGUUGGCGGGGUAACGGCCCACCAAGGCGACGAUCCGUAGCUGGUCUGAGAGGACGAUCAGCCACACCGGAACUGAGACACGGUCCGGACUCCUACGGGAGGCAGCAGUGGGGAAUAUUGGACAAUGGGGGAAACCCUGAUCCAGCGACGCCGCGUGGGUGAAGAAGGCCUGCGGGUUGUAAAGCCCUUUCGGUAGGGACGAAAGCUCUUGCUCUAACAAAGCAGGAGGUUGACUUAACCUACAUAAGAAGCACCGGCUAACUCUGUGCCAGCCGCCGCGGUAAAAC
rnacentral:rRNA from 1 species